CAGCCUCGGGGGGCAGCAGUGAGGAAUAUUGGUCAAUGGCCGCAGGGCUGAACCAGCCAAGUCGCGUGAGGGAUGACGGUCCUACGGGUUGUAAACCUCUUUUGCCGGGGAGCAAGCCUGAGCACGUGUGCCCAGGCGGAGAGUACCCGGAGAAAAAGCAUCGGCUAACUCCGUGCCAGCAGCCGCGGUAAUACGGAGGAUGCGAGCGUUAUCCGGAUUUAUUGGGUUUAAAGGGUGCGCAGGCGGGCUGUUAAGCCGGCGGUAAAAA
rnacentral:rRNA from 1 species